GCUCUUCGAGGACACACAAGGAAUCCAGGCAGAGCAGAGGGAUUGCAGAAGGGUGUGAAGAAGGGGAACUUUGCAGUGACAAACUCAGGAGAUUCCUCUCAAAGCCCUUUACAUCCCUCAUAAAUCCCUGCUAUCUCUCCUUCAGGCACCAUCCCACAACUCUAUAGGGGCCCAGGCACUCUUCAAAUAACCCAUCACCAGCUUCCCAUCCUCUCCUAGGAGUGGAAAACUGAGGAGCAAGGACAAGGCUGCAGUGGUGAUGUGAGAUACAGAAACAGUGAUGGGACCAGCACACCCAGUGAAUUCUGAAGGAGGAGGGAUCAUUGCCAAGGCAGCAGUGGAGGAUGCUAACACAUGAAAAAACAAACAAACAAAGCCCUGCAGCGAUUAAACAUUGUGACACUGAGUUCAACUUGCCUUAUGAUUUCAUGUGGUUUUGUUUUUAAUGGCUUUUUAAAUUAUUUUUUAUUAGUAGUAUUUUAUGGCCUUCCAGAACAUGGAAAUGCAGCUGAACUUUAAAGGAUAUGCAAACAACGAGGCAUGAAAAUAUGUUCAAAUGUCAUUUCCACAACAGAACCUUAACUCUGCCAUGCUUGAGCAAUUCCCCAGUGCAGCAAGAAUAUGCACUCAGUGGUAAUUACACCUGACUGAGACAGGAAUUAUAUCCAAGAAACUUUUCUGUAUUUGGUUUCUCUGUCAGGGAAACAAUUGCAGAAUUUCCCAAGUGCUCCUGGAGAGAUUCUGUUCAGACACAAGGUAAAUUUUCACAAUGAGAACAAUCAGCCAUUGGAAUAAUCUCCCCAGGGAAGUGUGAAUCCCUCAGUUCUGGACACUUUAAUAUUCAGCUGCACAGGGUGCUGGAUGAUCUUGUUUCAACCAUGAUUUUGCCAAGAAAAGUUGUGUCAGAUAAUCCUUGAGAUCCUUUCCAGUCUGGUAUUCUGUGAUUCUGAGAUAAGUUACUACCUGGAAUGCUGUCUGCCCUUGCUGUUCAAGGUCAGCACGGGGAAGCUGUGCAGUCACUGUGCCUGGAUUCUGUUGGUAUUCGAGCCCCUCUGGGGUGUCCUGCAGACGCGUCAUUGUCACAGCACAGCAGCGCUGCUGCCUGGAGGUGGCAGCCGCAGAACCCGCCCGGAGGGUUAAUGGGGAAACGUUCUUCAUAAAGAAAAUCACUUUUCUCCACUCGCCCCGAAACAGGCGGCUCUCAGCUGAAUUAAUCCCCGCGGAGCACUGGAAAACAUUGCGAACAUAAAGGAAUGUGUCCUGCAGCACAAACGCUGCGCGCCUAUGGCACGGAGCCCCGCUAAUACUCUGCUGCCUUGAAAGCCAAAAUGCCUGCCUGCACCCCUGCAGAGACUCGGCUUUCAGCAGACCCGGGCAGAUUUCAACAGCAGAGCAUUGUUAUUUUUAAUUGGUCAUAAAAUAAACGCUCUUUUGUGUCCCUGCA
rnacentral:lncRNA from 1 species